ensembl:lncRNA
AAAAUCUAAUGGUUCCUUGUGUACAAGUAGUCAGCACACCGGUUGAUAUGGUCAUAUCAGUCAGUGCCUGAACUUAUGCUCUAACCAAUACGCAGGCCUUUGCCGUCUCUCGUCUCGAGCUUCUCGCUCACAACCAAUCACGUUCUUCUGGAGGUCACUAGUUCUUAAUUGAUUUCAGCUGCGUCUCCCCCGCCUCUCCUCAUAAAGCGCCCCCACCGUGACGGAUUUUAAUCGUUUAUUUUGUGUUGGAUUGCGUGGGCUGAACAAUCCGGACAUCGUGGCCACCGACGUUGACCCCCCGCCACCGGGACCCACGCACACCGACCACCACACUGGGAAGUGUCCUCUGCUCACUGUGGAAGCAGCAUGGAAGAACUGCAGCAACUCUGAUGGAAACGAGGACCUCCACGCUGUUGAACACAAACUGUUCUAGGCCUACUACAAACCGAGGCGGUCCCACUCGGUUAAAGAUCUCGUGGUCAAUGCGGCAGACCGCUGGACCUGGACGUCACCUUCUGCAGAUACUUCACUGCCCUCAAGAAUCCACGGAUAACUUGAAACAUGUCCGACUCCACAUGUCCGAAAAAAAUCCAGGAUGGAAACUUGUGGAAGGAAGGAAGGGUUCUGUUUUUGCUCAACCCAUAACCCCACUGAGCCCUUCUGUGGAAACCUGUCUGACUGACCCUACUGACUGGGGGCCUGUUGUGUAUUUGGUUGGUCUGGUAGAAGGUUUGCUGCUUGUGAUCUGCAAGGUGGUCCUGGGUUAGAUGCGGUGUCUGACUUGCACACCACUCUCCCAAUUCUAUUUUUCUCUUUACUACUUUUCUACUUUCAAUACUUGCUGCUGUUGACCGCUGGUGGUGCAAUGUGGUUUUUAUUCGCGUAUGUUCUGUGGACUUUGCAUUUGUAUUUUAAUGAACAUGUUUACUGCCUGUUAGACCUCGGAUUGGCAAACCUAAACUCCUUCACUGGCAAAAUGUAGAUGCAAAUUAAAUGCCGAAAUUAAAAUUUCAAUAUUCGUUUUGCGUAUUUCACCAAUGGCUUCGGAACUAGACGGACCUCGUAUAUAAUUUGCUCUUCAAAGAUGCGGUCAGGCGCCCCUCCGUUAUAUAACGUUUUCUGCCCGGUACGAAAUAGACCAACCAAUAGCAACCCUUUAGGCUAUCUAAUGUGAUGUUGGAUAUAUGCAACAUGUAGAGGUGUUUCAACAACAAAGAUGGAAGUUGGGGAACUAAAGACUGUAUAUGCUCACUAAAAGAACGUCUACUAAAAGAUUUUGAGGAAUAUGCAUUUCUGCAUCACCCGUUCCAAUGCUAUGAUUAGUCGAGGCCUAUCCAAUAGCUUAGCAUCGACCCAUUUUAGAUCGCGCCCUUUAGACACGCCCCUUGGAAAUUGAACCGCACUUCAACGCAGAGGAUCCAGAAGGAUUUCACAACGAGUCCAUUGGAAGAUAUCGAGGAACAUGAACAUCAUCACCAAUGAAGGAGAGUAACGUUUCCACUUGCUAUAGGAAUUUAGUGAAGCACUAAAUAGUUAAUAAUAAUAAUGAUAAAAUGUGGUCACCAUUUAUUGACUUUUUGGGUAAGACUUGCUUUACUAAUAUAACCGCUUUAAAACCGCAUUCAUUUACUUUUCUUGUGUAGUUUCCCACUAUUCAUUAAAUGUUUUAUAGAAGUAAAAAAGUAAUCAAUAGAACUAUACACAUUUGUACAACAAUUAAUCAUUAUAGAGGAUUUGAACAUUUUCUAUUCGAGCUCAUGCUUCAUAAUAUUUCCAAGGAUUGCAGAGUACCAAAUGAUUUAUGAACAGUUGUCUUUGUUCAGGAGCGGAUUGUACUCCCAGAGGCUUCAACAGAGCGGGUCUUGAGCUGGGAGCUGCAGGUGGAUGGUGGCCAGGAGCCUUUCAGUCCUACAGGAACAGACGGAGGUGAUGGAGGCGGUCGUCUGGAGGUGCUCGCCAUGAGGUCCAUGGCGGUCGUCUGGAGGUCCGUGGCGGUCGUCUGGAGGUCAUCUGGAGGUCCGUGGCGGUCGUCUGGAGGUCCGUGGCGGUCGUCUGGAGGUCCGUGGCGGUCGUCUGGAGGUCCGUGGCGGUCGUCUGGAGGUCCGUGGCGGUCGUCUGGAGGCGCCUGCUGCAGGUGGAGGGAAGGCCGGAGCCGUGCAGCCCAACGGAUGCAGAACGAAGGACUGAGGCGGAGGUCCUGGAGGCGGAGGUCCUGGAGGCGGAGGUCCUGGAGGCGGCGGUGGCCUGGAGGUCCUGGAAGCGUCCAACCUGGAAGGGGCGGCAUGGUGGGCCAGGUGGCGGCUCCUCAUCCAAAGGGCCUGGAGGCAGCCAACCUGGAAGGCCUGGAGACGGCGGCGGGCCUGGAGGUGGACGCCAACCUGGAGGUCCUGGAGUCGGUGGGCCUGGAGGCGGUGGUUGGGACCAACCUGGAGGGCCUGGAGGCGGUGGUUGGGACCAACCUGGAGGUCCUGGCGGUGGCGUCCACCUGGCGGCGGUCAGCCUGGAGGGCCCGGCGGCGGCGACCGUCCUGGAGGGCCCGGCGGCGG